rnacentral:sRNA from 1 species
UUUAACAUUUAAGAAUAAUUUUUUAUAUAGAAAAGCUUUGCAAAUUGUAUCAUUCUCUAAUACAUUUAUAUCUAUAGUUUAAUUUUAUAUAUAGUAAUAUUAUACAUACCACAUAACAUUUUUGGUUUUAUAUAAUCUUUUCUAAAUUAGGAUGAUUUGAUAUGUUUAAUAUUAGUGGUCUUAAAAAAUAAUAAAUUAAAGAUUUAACCCGUAUUGAAACGGUGGAUUAAUUAUAUUUUACUUUUUUAUUAAUGUUGAUUCAAAAACCCGUCCCUCCAAAUCUGUCUUGCCAAAAAGCUAUUUAUUUUGUUAAUAUUAAUUUUAUUAAUAUUAAAUUUAUUAAUGAUAUCACUCUGAAUUAGAAUCUAAACAUUUUAGCUAAUAACAUAGGAGUGCACCAUAUUUAUUUAAUAGGAAAAUGUACCAUAUGACCCGAAUGCACUUUUAUCCAAAUCCACCAAAAAAGUCUUGCAAAAAUACUAUAGAAAUAAGAAACGAUAGUCGGUUUUGAUAGGUAUAAGAUUAACAAAUAUAUUAGUUAGCUUAAAUUAGUUAAAGAAUAUAA